GGAACAGCUGGAGCAAGUGAUCCCCCCUGUGUGCGGGGCAUGGACAGCUGCUCUCUAGAGAUUGCUAACUGGAGGAACCACCAGGAGACUCUCAAAUACCAGUUUGAUGCCUUCUAUGGGGAGAGGAGUACUCAGCAGGACAUCUAUGCAGGUUCAGUGCAGCCCAUCCUAAGGCACUUGCUGGAAGGGCAGAAUGCCAGCGUGCUUGCCUAUGGACCCACAGGAGCUGGGAAGACGCACACAAUGCUGGGCAGCCCAGAGCAACCUGGGGUGAUCCCGCGGGCUCUCAUGGACCUCCUGCAGCUCACAAGGGAGGAGGGUGCCGAGGGCCGGCCAUGGGCCCUUUCUGUCACCAUGUCUUACCUAGAGAUCUACCAGGAGAAGGUGAGGCCCUGUGCUGGUUGGGAGAGGAGCAACAAAGGGUCAAAGUAAGACCUGGUUCUAGAAUAUGAAGCUCUCCUGUAGCAGGGAGGUAAGGUGAGACCUAGAAAGACAGAGACUGGGGUAGCAGAUGGUACAACUCCGAGAAUAGAACAGAGAAAGGAAACUGAUCCCCAGGAAGAAACAGCCUCUCUAUGGAGAAUUGCCCUGCCCCUUCACUGCUUACACAGGUAUUAGACCUCCUGGACCCUGCUUCGGGAGACCUGGUAAUCCGAGAAGACUGCCGGGGGAACAUCCUGAUUCCGGGUCUCACCCAGAAGCCCAUCACUAGCUUUGCUGAUUUUGAGCGGCACUUCCUGCCAGCCAGUCGAAAUCGGACUGUAGGAGCCACCCGGCUCAACCAGCGCUCCUCCCGCAGUCACGCUGUGCUCCUGGUCAAGGUGAGGCCGCAGACAGGGGCGAGGACCUGGGAAGCCCAGGAGCCUGAGCUAAGCACGAGACCUUUGUUCUUACCCCCAGGUGGACCAGCGGGAACGUUUGGCCCCAUUUCGCCAGCGAGAGGGAAAACUCUACCUGAUUGACUUGGCUGGGUCAGAGGACAACCGGCGCACAGGCAACAAGGGCCUUCGGCUAAAAGAGAGUGGAGCCAUCAACACCUCCCUGUUUGUCCUGGGCAAAGUGGUAGAUGCGCUGAAUCAGGGCCUCCCUCGUGUACCUUACCGGGACAGCAAGCUCACUCGCCUAUUGCAGGUCAGGCCCACCUGUCUCAGGGAAGAAGGGGCUGCAGAAGGAGGUUCUCAGGCCUGCUGUGGGGUGGGGAAUAGCAGUUGAGGCACAGGAAGGCUGGGCUUCUGACCCACCCACUGCCUGGUCUCACCCUCAGGACUCUCUGGGUGGCUCAGCCCACAGUAUCCUUAUUGCCAACAUUGCCCCUGAGAGACGCUUCUACCUAGACACAGUCUCCGCACUCAACUUUGCUGCCAGGUCCAAGGAGGUGAUCAAUCGGCCUUUUACCAAUGAGAGCCUGCAGCCUCAUGUCUUGGGACCUGUUAAGCUGUCUCAGAAAGAAUUGCUUGGUCCACCAGAGGCAAAGAGAGCCCGAGGCCCUGAGGAAGAGGAGAUCGGGAGCCCUGAGCCCAUGGCAGCUCCAGCCUCUGCCUCCCAGAAACUCAGGUGAGCAGUGGGGCCUUGGGUGUAUCCCCUUCCUGAUGUGUGGCUUAGCAGCAGAGCUGCAAUGCCUGUCAGAUCCUUGAGCAGAGAGCUGUGAUCUUGUUCCUCUCCCAUUAAAUUCACCCUAGGCC
rnacentral:sRNA from 1 species